rnacentral:rRNA from 1 species
UACGAGGGGGGCAAAUGUUGUUCGGAAUCAUUGGGCGUAAAGGGCGCGUAGGUGGCCCGGUCAGUUCGUGGUGAAAGCGCGGGGCUCAACCCUGCGUCGGCCAUGAAUACUGCCGCGGCUGGAGCACUGUAGAGGCAGGCGGAAUUCCGGGGUGUAGCGGUGGAAUGCGUAGAGAUCCGGAAGAACACCGGUGGCGAAGGCGGCCUGCUGGGCAGUUGCUGACACUGAGGCGCGACAGCGUGGGGAGCAAACAGG